CACGUAGGGUGCGAGCGUUGUCCGGAAUUAUUGGGCGUAAAGAGCUCGUAGGCGGUGUGUCACGUCGGCCGUGAAAACCUGCAGCUUAACUGUGGGCGUGCGGUCGAUACGGGCAGACUAGAGUGCGGUAGGGGAGACUGGAAUUCCUGGUGUAGCGGUGAAAUGCGCAGAUAUCAGGAGGAACACCGGUGGCGAAGGCGGGUCUCUGGGCCGUAACUGACGCUGAGGAGCGAAAGCGUGGGGAGCGAACAGG
rnacentral:rRNA from 1 species